GAGCAGGUGGCGGAAUUGGUAGACGCGACAGGCUUAGGACCUGUUGGGUUUUUCCCGUGUGGGUUCGAAUCCCACCCUGCUCACAA
rnacentral:tRNA from 1 species